rnacentral:rRNA from 1 species
UACGGAGGGUGCGAGCGUUAAUCGGAAUAACUGGGCGUAAAGGGUACGCAGGCGGGCUUUUAAGUGAGAUGUGAAAUCCCGGGGCUUAACCUAGGAAUAGCAUUUCAGACUGGGAGUCUAGAGUACUUUAGGGAGGGGUAGAAUUCCACGUGUAGCGGUGAAAUGCGUAGAGAUGUGGAGGAAUACCGAUGGCGAAGGCAGCUCCCUGGGAUUGUACUGACGCUGAUGUGCGAAAGCGUGGGGAGCAAACAGG